rnacentral:tRNA from 2 species
AGUGCCGUGGUAGACUUGGUAAUAUACUCCCCUGUCACGGGAGACCAUGCGGGUUCGAAUCCCGUCGGCACUG